GGCGGGGUAGUUUAGCGGUAAAACACUUAAACAUCCUUGUUCACCCCUUGCCUAAUUAGGCCGAAGAAUGAGGGUUAUCGCUUACCAUGCGAGAAUGGCUGGGUUCGAGUCCCGCUCCCGCCC
rnacentral:tRNA from 2 species